rnacentral:rRNA from 1 species
UACAGAGGUCUCAAGCGUUGUUCGGAUUCAUUGGGCGUAAAGGGUGCGUAGGCGGCGCGGUAAGUCGGGUGUGAAAUCUCAGGGCUCAACCCUGAAACUGCACUCGAUACUGCUCUGCUUGAGGACUGGAGAGGAGACUGGAAUUCACGGUGUAGCAGUGAAAUGCGUAGAUAUCGUGAGGAAGACCAGUGGCGAAGGCGGGUCUCUGGGCCGUAACUGACGCUGAGGAGCGAAAGCGUGGGGAGCGAACAGG